AGGCAAGCCCUUAAUUGAAACGACAAUUCUGCUUAGCGCUUAGCAGAAACAGCCUUUACUCUUUUGGAAUUUGCGUGGAUGGGACAACUCCCCAACAUGGCCCUAGUGAGUGUGUUCAUGCUCAGCGUAAUGCUGACUGCGACAGCCGGACAAAACCUGAACAUGGUUGGUACAACUGAAGAUGUACAUCAUCAUCAACAUGAGACCACGACUCAACUCCCGGAUAUUAUAGUUGAGGAGCCAG